rnacentral:rRNA from 1 species
CGCUGGCGGCGUGCCUAAUACAUGCAAGUCGAGCGGAAUGAUGAAGAAGCUUGCUUCUUCUGAUUUUAGCGGCGGACGGGUGAGUAACACGUGGGCAACCUACCUUGUAGAUUGGGGUAACUCCGGGAAACCGGGGCUAAUACCGAAUAAUCCAUUUUGCUUCAUGGCGAGAUGUUAAAAGGCGGCUUCGGCUGUCGCUACGAGAUGGGCCCGCGGCGCAUUAGCUAGUUGGUAGGGUAAUGGCCUACCAAGGCGACGAUGCGUAGCCGACCUGAGAGGGUGAUCGGCCACACUGGGACUGAGACACGGCCCAGACUCCUACGGGAGGCAGCAGUAGGGAAUCUUCCACAAUGGACGAAAGUCUGAUGGAGCAACGCCGCGUGAGUGAAGAAGGUUUUCGGAUCGUAAAACUCUGUUGUAAGGGAAGAACACGUACGAGAGUAACUGCUCGUACCUUGACGGUACCUUAUUAGAAAGCCACGGCUAACUACGUG